CGACCGGCGCACGGGUGAGUAACGCGUAUGUAAUCUACCUGUAACAGAGGGAUAACCCGGAGAAAUCCGGACUAAUACCUCAUAGCACAUAUUAUUCGCAUGAGUUUUAUGUUAAAGAGACUCGGUUACAGAUGAACAUGCGUUCCAUUAGCUAGUUGGCGGGGUUACGGCCCACCAAGGCAACGAUGGAUAGGGGUUCUGAGAGGAAGGUCCCCCACACUGGUACUGAGACACGGACCAG
rnacentral:rRNA from 1 species